GAUGAAGAUCGUAGCGAAAUGCGAUAAGUAGUGUGAAUUGCAGAAUUCAGUGAAUCAUCGAAUCUUUGAACGCACAUUGCGCCCUUUGGUAUUCCAAAGGGCAUGCCUGUUCGAGCGUCAUUUGUACCCUCAAGCUUUGCUUGGUGUUGGGCGUCUUGUCUCUAGCUUUGCUGGAGACUCGCCUUAAAGUAAUUGGCAGCCGGCCUACUGGUUUCGGAGCGCAGCACAAGUCGCACUCUCUAUCAGCAAAGGUCUAGCAUCCACUAAGCCUUUUUUUCAACUUUUGACCUCGGAUCAGGUAGGGAUACCCGCUGAACUUAAGCAUAUCAAUAAGCGGAGGA
rnacentral:misc_RNA from 1 species